rnacentral:rRNA from 1 species
UUACCGAGUUGAUUCGGGCUCCGGCCCGAUCCUCCCACCCUUUGUGUACCUACCUCUGUUGCUUUGGCGGGCCGCGGUCCUCCGCGGCCGGCCCCCCUCCCCGGGGGGUGGCCAGCGCCCGCCAGAGGACCAUCAAACUCCAGUCAGUAAAACGAUGCAGUCUGAAAAACAUUUAAUAAACUAAAACUUUCAACAACGGAUCUCUUGGUUCUGGCAUCGAUGAAGAACGCAGCGAAAUGCGAUAAGUAAUGUGAAUUGCAGAAUUCAGUGAAUCAUCGAAUCUUUGAACGCACAUUGCGCCCUUUGGUAUUCCGAAGGGCAUGCCUGUUCGAGCGUCAUUACAACCCUCAAGCUCUGCUUGGUAUUGGGCACCGUCCUUUGCGGGCGCGCCUCAAAGACCUCGGCGGUGGCGUCUUGCCUCAAGCGUAGUAGAACAUACAUCUCGCUUCGGAGCGCAGGGCGUCGCCCGCCGGACGAACCUUCUGAACUUUUCUCAAGGUUGACCUCGGAUCAGGUAGGGAUACCCGCUGAACUUAAGCAUAUCAAUAAGGC